CAGCCGCCACGGGAACACGGAGGGUGCAAGCGUUAAUCGGAAUUACUGGGCGUAAAGCGCACGCAGGCGGUCUGUCAAGUCAGAUGUGAAAUCCCCGGGCUUAACCUGGGAACUGCAUUUGAAACUGGCAGGCUAGAGUCUUGUAGAGGGGGGUAGAAUUCCAGGUGUAGCGGUGAAAUGCGUAGAGAUCUGGAGGAAUACCGGUGGCGAAGGCGGCCCCCUGGACAAAGACUGACGCUCAGGUGCGAAAGCGUGGGGAGCAAACAGGAUUAGAUACCCCUGUAGUCCCUGUCUCUUAUAC
rnacentral:rRNA from 1 species